GAAUCAUGAGGUUCUGUGAGAAAGAUUCGCCAUUUUUAGACCUUUUUAUUUUGGUGAGGUUUUGAAUUUUAAUGUUGGCUUAAUUAGCUGGAUUGCCAAUUGUGAGGCAUUUCUUAGAAUAAUGUGAUGGGUUUUAGUUGGUUCGGGUUGGCGGUUCGUGAGCUUGCUAUUAUUCUUGGUAUAAUUGAUUCGAUUAAAUUCCAUUGCAUGUACAGUGAAAGUGGCCUGAAAGCAUGCUGAAAGUUUUUAAUUUCAUUUUUAUUUGUAGACGAAUUUUGUUGCUGAAAGACCUUGAAACCAUGCUGUCGACCACGUCGAGAAUCUGAGUAACAUUGGCACCUCUUUAAAAGGAACUUAAGCCAUCCAAAUAUCUAGGACUUCCAUCAAAUCGUACAGGCUGCAUGGAAGUCGCAUUUACCUUUGGUGAACAUCAUGAACUGAUGAACACUAUUUGAAGGUUCAUGUUUACGUAGCAGUGGUGUUGCUGUCCAAUGUGGCGUGUUGUUGCAGCCCAUGGGGGUGAAAGAUAUCUGCAUCAAGUUGCUGUUCCUUGUGCAUCCAAGGUGCUGGUUUUGUGCUACAGAAGUGACAUCCAAUAUUGUGUUUAAUUGCUAUUUGUGUCUUUGCAGUUUACCUUUAUAUAUUGAGAAGGAACAAAAAUAAUAGUAAUAUGAGAAGGUUUAUGUCAAACAAAUAAUAAACAUGUCCAGGAUGGGGGAAUGAGGAGGAAGUUGGGGUGGGGUAUUUGGUUAUGAUGUACUAAAAGAAGUGAGGUAUAUUUUUAAUGAAUAUGCAGUACUUGGUGAUAAAAUCUGUUAACCUAUACCUUCCCGUCAACCUAUACCUUCCCCACAUCUACUUACACAUCCGUUCCUCAAACCCCACAAGUACCAACAUCAAAUUCCACAUCCACUCCUAAAAACCCCACAAUCUACAACAUCGAAUUCACACAAUUGUUGUAUAUCUAUAAUCAUAUUUAAAUAUAAAUAAAUAAUAUGCUAUUGGAAAUAAA